ACCUCUUACCUUCUCAAUCACUGGUCAUGCGCUGUUCGUGUGCGUCGCUGUUGCCGUUAUCGGUGUGCCUAUCACUAGUUCUUCCUCCACGGCUGUGAGUUCUUCCUCUGUUUUACCGUCGCUCAUCCUCCUCUAUCACUACCUCAAGAUAUUUGGAAGAGGAGAAAUUUGAUCAACAGUGAGAGGUGAAUUUUAGUUCUGGGAAUUUCAAAUUUGUUAGCUGAUGCUGAUCCUACCACCGACCUCGAAAAAGGGCAACACAGUUAUACUGGGUGGAAAAUUUUGCUUGAUACUGUUACCUGUUUAUAUAAAUAUUUUAGUACUCAUACAUUUUAAAUCUAGAAGAAAGAUUAGUUGCUCCACAUAGAUUGUUGUUAGAAUUUUAUUGUGAUCUAUAUA